rnacentral:tRNA from 1 species
GCUUUUGUGGCGUAACGGUAGCACACUCGGCACGUAUUCGAAAGGUCCAGGUUCGAGUCCCGGCUAGAGCA